rnacentral:lncRNA from 1 species
GGCCCCCCACCUGUGCUGCCCCUAUAAAUAAAGAAGAAAAACCGAAGAGAAAAAAAGAAGAAAAAACCGAAAGACCCGAAGAGAGAAAGAGAGAGAGAGCGACCCGAAGAGAGAGAGAAGAACAGAAACAAACCGAGAAGAAGGAAACCGAAACAAAACCAAAACCGAACCGAGAAUAGGCAGCCACUGAGAACGAAAAAACCGAAGGAGAAGGGAGGAAGAAGAAUUUUUCGUCACUGUUGGAAACGGCAGCAACGCCGCCCGAAACCGCCAUCCACGAGCCACGCCACCGUAGCCCCGUCAGCCAACCACCGUCUCCAGCCUCGCCA